GUGUUUAAGAAGAAAGUAGUAGUAAGCUAACUUGAGUUAUUGCUAGCCCAAUACUGCUCAACUGUAACUCACUUUUAUGCUAGGCUUGCCAGAUUGGGCAGUUUCCCACCCAAAUCGGCCAGUUUGAAAGACUGUUUGUCAUGUAUGCUUGAUGAUCUUAAUGUUUGAAUGAAAACUUGCUGUUAUUAAAAAUUGUGAUUUUAACAUUUUUUAAGUUUGUGAGUUACUAUUGUUGGCAGAAACUAAAAUAUAAUUUGUGAUCACUUCUAGUGAAUAAGGAUAGUAUGCAAGUACAAACCAGGCAUUAUAAAACUCUGCAGGAAAUGUACAAAAAGUAGAAGCCCAAUGUAGCUGAUGUAUACCAGUUUUUUUUAUCUGGAGUUUCAGGUCAUAAGAGAAGAUACCAGAGCUUCAUCCAUCGUGGAUGUUUAUCCAGAGAAUUGCAUCAUGUAAGUAUUAUGUAAAAAGUAUAAAGUAAAAUUUUAAAUGUCUAUAUAUUUUUCACUACUUGGUUUGUCAUUGCAGGUGCUUGGAGAAAUGCAUAUAGUCCUUGCUCCCCACAAUGAUGAAUUCUUCGAGGAAGUCAAAAUGAGAUGGGAGGAUUGCUGCGCCAGGGUCAUUUUACGGAGUAUGAAAGAAGGCAAUAAAGCCACCAAUUAACAGGGAUAAAAGUAAGUUUGCCUUUUUGAUACAUGUAGUUAGAUGCGUGAAUGCUUCUUCUCAAAAAACACUUUGUUCUAUGUGUUUCUUCUUCAAGAAGAACAAUUCAAUUUAUUGUGUUUCAGUGGAAGCCAACUUUGCUCUGGUGAAGGCCCUUCCCAUUCUCUUUCCCUCGGUGGCACCUCCAUCAAAGAAACUGGGAUGUUCUAGUGAAGCUUUACUGCAUGUUCAGGAGUCAAUAGAAGAUCCUUCAUCCAGAAGAGAGGCCUGUCAAGUCCAGUCUUGGUGUUCGAUGGCAGCAGAUGAAUCGUUGCUAUUGGUUUGAUGCCAGUUACGUUUGAAAAAGAAAAGCUUCACCAGGGUCUGAUUUUCUAAAUGGCAUAUUAUUACACACUACAUCUGACCUACACAAAAUGCGUGGCCACCCUUCUGUCAUUCAGACAGAGAUCCUUCAGGAUCCUAUUCACAAGCGGGACAGCACCACCAUGAAAGAACAUUAAAGUAAAGAAUUUGUUGGAAGAUUAACUGCUUUUGCAGUUUAAUGUUUAUGUCUGUUCUUUAGAUGAGUAUUCUAAUUGUGUUGUUAAAGAAACUUGUAUUCCUAGAAAAUUUGGGUACAUUUGUAACACAAAUCUAAGUUUGUAAGUUGAAUAAAAGAAUCGAAAAGUGAAUUUGUUUUCAUUCUUUUUAGUAUUGAAACAAGAAAAAAUAUCUUUUGCAACUGCUUGUUUCAAGAUUUAUUUUCUGAAUUUUAGUGGGCAAUACAUUUUAAUCAAGCUCCUAUAUCCUAGUUUUUAGUUUUUUUGUCUUAAAUUAAUGCUUAAAAUAAGUGUUUUUUGCCUAAUUUCAAGAUUUAACCAAUUUACUAUGGCUUAGAUAUUUUUACUUAAAUCAAGACAUCUUGUUAAGUAAAAUUUACUAGCUGCACUGGCAGAUAAUUUGACUUAUUUCUAGUCAAUUUCUACUAAAAACAAGUACUUUUUUCUAGAAUU
ensembl:lncRNA